rnacentral:lncRNA from 1 species
GUCGCGGGUGCACCCGCGGAGAGGCAGCUGAAGCUACUUUUAAGGGACCAGGGAUUGUGGCCGCCCCACACGUGCCCUGUCCACGGGGAGAAAGAUGACCCCACGCAGGCGCCCAGAGAGCCACACUCAGAGGUCAGAGCAAAGUCAUCCCUCAACUACCAAGAUUAAUUUAUUAAGAGACUUAUUGUUAACGUUAAUUGAGAUGAAAAUUUCACAACUUGGAACUUCGGAAGAGCAGGUGUUCACGGUGUCCCGGGCCCGCGCACGGCGCUCCUCACGGUCCAGCCGGCGCAGGGCUGCCAGGAGGGGGACGCGCGCCCAGGACCCGGCCACCUCGGACCUGCAAGGAGGCGGAGGGCGGGGUCUUCCCUCCCCCCUGCCCCGGGCAGCCGUGCGUCCUCAUCCACAUGGGCACCCUCCUGGGCCGGGCCCCGUCCUGUCCGUCCCGGCAUCGCCAGGCAGCGAGCAGGGGCAGUACUGGUGGGAUUCAGGGGUGACUUUUACUGUCACCUGGUGUCUGACAAAUCUGCAGGGCAACCCGAACCCAAUGAACACAGCUGUUUUAAGUCUGAAGCCCUAUGCUCUGGAACAUCCCACAGUGGGGGAAGAAGCACCCGGAGAGCAGCUAUGUUGGAAUGAACAUGUGUGCACACGUGCACACGCAGACACCCGGAGAGACCCACAUGUGCACAGGACAUGCGCGUCCACACCCCUGGGCCCGCCCGCCAGCGCAGCCGAGCCUGCCCUCAUCUCAGACGUGCAUAUUUUCCAUUUUUCCGCACGUGUCUGA